AUGUCAGUAGUGUUACAUCUUUCAUCUCUAAUGAGGUCUGAAAGCUGCAGAAACAUGGACGCUGACAACAAACCCAGAGAUGGCCCCUCUCCUCCUUCUCCUCCUCCCUCCACCUCCUCCUUCCACCUCCUCCUUCCACUCUCCCCCUUCUCCUCCUCCUUCUUCCUCCACCUUCCUCCUCCUUCCACCUCCUCCUUCUCCUCCCCUCCUCCUUCCACCUCCUCCUUCUCCUCCCUCCACCUCCUCCUUCCACCUCCUCCUUCUCCUUCCACUCUCCUCCUUCUCCUCCUCCUUCGACUCUCCUCCUUUUCCUCCUCCUUCCAACCUCCUCCUUCCACCUCCUCCUUCUCCAUCCACUCUCCUCCUUCUCCUCCUCCUCCCACCCCUCCUCUUCCCACCUCCUCCUUCCCUCCUCCUUCUCCUCCUCCCUCCACCUCCUCCUUCCACCUCCUCCUUCUCCUUCCACUCUCCUCCUUCUCCUCCUCCUUCGCCUCUCCUCCUUUUCCUCCUCCUUCCAACCUCCUCCUUCCCCUCCUCCUUCUCCUCCACUCUCCUCCUUCUCCUCCUCCUCCCACCCUCCUCUUUCCACCUCCUCCUUCCACCUCCUCCCUCCACCUCCUCCUUCCACUCUCCUCCUUCUCCUCCUCCUUCCACUCUCCUCCUUUUCCUCCUCCUUCCACCCUCCUCCUUCCACCUCCUCCUUCUCCUCCUCCUUCCACCUCCUCCUUCCCUCCUCCUUCCACCUCCUCCUUCUCCUUCCACUCUCCUCCUUCUCCUCCUCCUUCCCCUCCUCCUUCCACCUCCUCCUUCUCCUCCUCCUUCCUCUCCUCCUUCUCCUCCUCCUUCCACUCUCCUCCUUCCACUCCUCCUUCUCCUUCCACCUCCUCCUUCUCCUUCCACCCUCCUCCUUCCACCUCCUCCUUCCACCUCCUCCUUCUCCUCCUCCUUCCACUCUCCUCCUUCUCCUCCUCCUUCCACCUCCUCCUUCCACUCUCCUCCUUCUCCUCCUCCUUCCACCUCCUCCUUCUCCUUCCACUCUCCUCCUUCUCCUUCCACCUUCCUCCUUCCACCUCCACCUUCCACCUCCUCCUUCUCCUCCUCCUUCCACUCUCCUCCUUCUCCUCCUCCUUCCUUCACCCGCCCGUCCUUCUCCUUCCACUCAUCCUCCUUCUGCCUCCUCCUUCCACUCCACCUCCUCCUUCUCCUCCCUCCUUCCACCCUCCUCCUUCCUCCUCCUCCUUCCACUCUCCUCCUUCUCCUCCUCCUUCCACCUCCUCCUUCUCCUCCUCCUUCCACUCUCCUCCUUCUCCUCCUCCUUCUCCUUCCACUCUCCUCCUUCUCCUUCCACCCUCCUCCUUCCACCUCCUCCUUCCACUCUCCUCCUUCUCCUCCUCCUUCUCCUCCUCCUUCUCCUCCUCCUUCCACUCUCCUCCUUCUCCUCCUCCUUCCACCUCCUUCAUGCCGUGUGUCACUCUCUCGCAGCCCAGGUUUGGCACUCGCUCCUCAGCCUCGUCGCGCCUGCCGCUCCCCCUCCACCAGCUCCUCUUUCAGGCUCACUUCAGGAUCUUUAUUUGCUCAAGAAGGCUGCAGUGCCCCGAUCUCAGGCCAUCAGGGCCCCUCAUAAAGGAUUAA
ensembl:lncRNA